CAGAAGGAGGCGAUGCGGGGUUGGCCGUGGGACGCGAGGCCGGGCAGCGACGGAAGCGCGGGGAGCCCGAGGCCGGCGGAGCGCGCGGCCUUCCCGACGUCGCCUGCGAUAGGCGAGGCGACGGCGCCCGUUGCUGGGCAGGCGACGGCGCCCGUUGCUGGGCAGGCGACGGUCGGGGCCAUGGAGAUCGAUGCCUUCGGUCAGUGUACGUCUCGCCACCACCACCACUUGCGCUGCGUUAAGCGCGUUCGUCGGAGGCUAAUAACGGCCGCGAGGUUGGUGGGACGGCGUCCUGCGGGAGGUUAGGGAGCGGCCGGGUUUGGGCGCGCAAAGAUAAAGUGGGGAUGCGUGGGAUGGGCGCCACACGAUUGCGUGCGGAAGAACGAUAAGAUGGGGUUUGGGGUGGGUUCUGUAUGGCCUGGAAGUUUCCGUCUAUUGUAUCGGGAGUUUCUGGUGUUUAUCGUCUGAAGACGACCGAUAGGUGUUCAAGGGAGGCCCUCGAGGCUUCAACCAUUAGAUAACGGGGUUAGAGCAUCUAUAACCGGAUAUUUUUAAAGAAAAGCAAUAACAAUCAGAUUACUGCUAGGUUUCUUUCUGUCAGACUAGUCGACCGUUGUAGGAUUAAAAUCACGCCGACCAUGUGAUCUAAUAAGAAGGAGGCUGAGCGUUGGGUAGUUACUUGUCUGCGCUAAUUACGUGAUUCCGGUAACUGACCCCGGUAGCGUAUCUUCCCUGACAUAUUUGUCCUAUGUUAAUAGAUUCAUUUCUUAUCCAAGUAGCAUGACAUUUAUUUUUACGUGGUAGCAAGCAUGGUGCAUGAUAUUUCGUAUCCUCUACACUAAUAUUUGCUUUCAUAUAAAAGGAACUCCUGGUAAUAACAUAUUUUGCGUCAAGAACAUUCUUAUCAUUUUUUUUCAUUGGCUAGAAUUGCAUCCAAGCAAACUAUGGUUUGCCUUCAUCGCAAUAGAAAAAUAUUUUCACUUGUUUCAUAAGCGGCAAUCUCUUGCUUCCAUCGAUUAUAAAAUUGCUUCCAUCCAAAUAAUAAUUUGUGGUGCAAACGGAAUGAUCUUUUCAUACAAAUGAAUUAUUUUUCCUUGCAAAGAAACACGUGGAAGCACAACAUGAAUGAUGAAGCAUUGAACAUAUUAAUCCAGUCUCAACAAAGAUUUAAAAAUCUAUUUUCCAACAAGAGUAAAAUACUAUUACAACACUAUUUUUAUUUCGUCAUGAUCGACAUAACGGCAGGCGCUAGACAGUCUUAUCAUGACAAGAUCCAUGUGCCAUGAGUUGUACAUAUAACCGACAACUUAGAAUAGUGCCUUGUUGUUCUUGCACUCAACUCAUUACAUAUAAUCGGGAAUCUGUAUAACUGAAGCAUUCUGUGAGAAAGAAGGGAGCACACAAGUCAUUGACUCAUACAAAAAUUCACUAGAAGAAGCAAAAUAGUUGUAUAAUAAAAUGCACAAACAGAAGCAGUACUAGUAAUGGUUGAAUCAGAAAGUAAUAGUGAUUGAAGCAUACAUUAAUCUGAUGAUGAUUGAAGAAAAUGUCUAUUCAAUAGAAGUAGCACACUGUUACAAUGGUUGAAGCCAAAAAAAUCAUUACCAUAGAGUCAUUACCAAUUUUCUUUUGCCAGUGAAAGCAAUCUUCUAUCUCAAAAGAAGCAAAAAAUAUCUAUGUGUGGAUGCAUUAUGGUAAGAAGCACAAAAAGAGUAAACUUGAAUCAUAAGUUCAUAACUACGAUUACUUGGAACCUUGAAAAGAUAAAAAAGGAACAAGCUAAAAAUGCCACCUAGGGAGGCAUAUUUGAGUCAUGUACUUACAAAUUUCAAAGAAAUUGGACUAGUCUUUUAGUGAUUAAUAAUUAAAGUUAUAAUAUAGAGGAGAUAUAACACAGAUCUCACGAAAAAAUGUGCUAGGAGUCACUAGUAAUACAGGAAUUAAAAGGCAUCAAAAUACACUACAAGAAAUAUGAUCGAUAAUGACCCACCAUUUUGGUCAAAGAAUCGUCAUUGGUAUCAUGUUACGACCUUUUUUUGACCAAAUUUAGAGGGUCAACUGUUGGUCGUCAAGAACGAACAACCAUGACCUUUUCAGUAUUUUGGUCAAGUAUUCUUUGACCAAAAAACUUAGGUCAUAAAAUCUUUGACCAUUUUUUUGGUCAUUACAUGUGUACCUGAACCACGUAGGAGAUGACAUGGCAUCAACCACGUGGCUAAGCUGAUGUUGUGGCAGAUCACCAAUGACUGAAAAAUAAGGUCACAAUUUUACUAGCCCAAUCCAAAUCGGACACCUAAAUGGGCCAGGCCCAACAAUUAAGAUCAAUAUUUGAUAUUUCAGCCCAUUACUAUUUUUAUCUAGGACCAGGCCUUAUUUUUACACAAUUUGCAUACACUAUGCAUCGUAGAUAAUUCCGACGAAAAAAAAUUAUGUUAAGUAGUCCCGAUCAUUUAAGCAAUAAGCAUCAUUGCAGAAACUUUACAAACAUGCACCACAUAAAAUAGUUCGGCCUUCAACUCCACUACAAAUCCAGUUACAAUGAAGCUUCAUCAUUGUUACAACUCCAUUCCUAGAACCUAGUAACUAUUACUAAAAUGAGCACAUAAAGAGAAUGAAAGGUGCAAUGAAGCUUCAUCUCAGUCAAACAUGUUACAAUGACUAACAGUUAACUGGUCCUACAUUACAUUGUGAAAUGAGCACAAUAUGUGAUUUGACUUGUAACUAUAUUCAUGUGUGUAUACUAAGUGUAGGUGAUACAAUUAAAGCCCCAGCUGCCAUAUCUUCUUUACUGCUCCGGAGGAACGAAGGAACAUGUGUAGCAGUCUCCAUUAUCUUCCCAGGCCAGGCCGAUAAAUUUCUGAGAUGGAGAUAAGGCAAAAAAACUGUUAUCACGGGUCAGGAAUUAUGUUCAGUAUCUCCUGCAAAGCAUCCCAACAGGGUUGAUAAAAUAUAUGUAAAAGUGAUCCUCAAUGUCUAUUUCUCAAACAGAAAGUACUACAGGAUCAAGAUUUAAUUAGACAUGGACAAAACGCUUUAGAAGCCUAUGUUCUUCAUAUGAGAGAACAUCAGAUGCUACUUCCAGCUCUUCAAAAUCACUGAAACUGGGCACAGUAAGAUGAUUUAAGUUGUACUGUUCUGGACUCGUGAGCCAAAGGGACCGAUCAACUCAACUAGACACCACAGUAAACUUGCAUUGUUACCCCUAUAUGGUUUCCUGCAGUUCUUCCACAUGACAUAAUUUUCAGCAUUAUGUUGUUUAAAUGACCCAAUAGCUAUCUAUAUGCAGAGCUCUAAUUUCUUCUUCUGCCAUCUUUUUAACCCAACAUUCUAUGAAGGACCUGAUAUUAAAAUUAAAAUAUUAGCCAAAGAACAGUUUUGUGUUUCUCCCCUUGCCACUCUUGUAUCAUAUAAAGCCUGAACUUCUUGAAGUAUUACGUUUGAUUGUCACAUUUAUACGAGAAAACAACUAAAACAGGUAGUGAUACAACUUUGAUCACGGCAAAAAAAAGUGUAAAACAUCUAAACUUAACUUAGAAACGAUUAGGGAAGCAUGAAAAUUCUGAAUACCUUUGAACUGAAGGAACCAUUUUCUUUGGGGACGCCCUGGAAUAUGCUUUAUGUAUCCUGCACAUUUCAUAGGCAAUGAGUUGAGCAAGCACAGGGAAAAAUAUAUAACUACUUCAAGAAAAUGUCUAGCCAUCUCCUGGUAGUUUUGCAAAGGCGCAAAACCAAAGCAGUGACAUGAUCAAUCAAGCAAGCAAAUGCAAGCAGUGGACUAAGGUUACAUACAGAUAGGACGUGGAUACUCGCUAAACAAACACUUGGCUUAACCCGUGAAGCUAUAAUUUAACUAAUGGAAUGGCAUUAGUAAGCAUCUGGUUUUUGUAGUUUAGGUGGCUCCAUAUAUUCAGUAUUUCACAGACUGCAUUUCAAUACCGCACCUACUAAGCUGAACUUUUUUUAAAAUGUCUACGGGUGGCGACUGCCCGCCUGAACGAUUUCCAUUAAAUUGCUUACACGAUCAAUAAUUUCUUUACAGGGAGUUUUACACAGAGGGGGGUAACCCUAUGGGAAAAACACACAAAGAAAAUAAGCUACAGCAAUGUGGAGAAGUUUUUGACCCAGGCCUGGAGAAUUGUUUUACAAAUGGAUCGGGAGCAGCGGCACCUCCCAUUAUUGAUGGGGUUUGUUGCCGUGUGCUUACAGAGAACUUGAGAAUUGACAGGUAGUAGUCAUUAAUCUCAUCAUAUGAUCUAAUUUCUAAGGAACUAAAUAAACCAGUAUACAAAAUUCAAAAACAGCUACACUAGCAGAAACAUACUAAAGGACCUAAAACUAGAGCAGAUCAAAUGAAUGACCGAACAGAACAGCAUAACAAGUCAGUAAGACACAGCCUUUCUGGAUGCUAGGUUUUGGACGAUACGGAACAUUAUUUGUAAUCGUGGGCACUGUUUUCCUACCAGCUGCCCGACUUGCAAAACCAACGAGGCAAGGGAAGAUGGUUGGCACAGAUCAGGUCCUACCGCUUAUACAAUGGGUUGAAAGCCUUGAUAAGUUUUAGUGGGCUUUGCACUGAACGCGCAUAAGGUCCAAGUAUCAGUGUGAAUCAAACUAUUCUCUAGCACAUAUAAACCUUUAGGAGUAUAUAUUAUUAUAUGUUUCAAAAGGGAUAGAAAACUCCAGGAAUAGUCCUAAAAAAAUUUGCAUUCAAAAUGCAUAGUUGGAUUCACAUUUUGAUUUAUUGUAAUGACUAUGGUAAGUCUGUUACUACAAAUAAGUGUAUAUGAGAAAUUAGAUAGAUGAGCAAAUUGAUACAAGUGAUGUGCAAAAUAUGUCUUCAUUAUUUCAAUACUUAAAUAACUUUAUACCUUUGAAAACUAUAUCUACGGUGCCGUGAUAGUGCUGUGCAAAUGAUUAAAUUAAGAAUUGAUUACCCAGUUGUGCAGUCAUUGCUCUGUUCUUCUAUAAAGUAACCACAAUGAGCGGCAUCCAGAAUCUUGUUCUUUGCUUGAGAUCUGCUGCAACACAUGAACAUCAGUAUUAAACCACAGAAUUAGAACGAUUAAUAAUUGUACAAAUACUGGAAGAUUCUGAUCGGCCGGCAACCUUCACCUGACGACACAGAACAGAACCGAUCCGCCGCUGAUCUCCGGCGUGCAUAACACAUGACAUCCGGACCUCCUCCUUAUGAAAGCUCUUGCGGUUCAUCUGCACAUGUCUGGUAGUCAGACGAGAAGGCGGCGCCUGCUGCGUGCGUGAUGGAGAAUUGGGAUGGAUGUGUUUGUUUCUUAUUCCUGCGAGUCAACGCGUGAGUUACGGGCUUACGGCGAUGGAAACCAGGAUAACUCCUACUACUACGACAAUGCAUAUAUCUCCUACUACUCACUACGGGAAUCAGGUAAUUUGCCGUCUUUGAAGAUCUUUGCCGUCAGCUUUUCAUCGUGGAUGACAGCAAAGACCAUUUUUGCCGUCUAUAAUAAAAAACUGUUGACGUCAAAGAAUGACUGAUGGUAAAGACAUAUUUUGCCGUCUGUAGUAAAAAUUGCUGACGGCAAAGGAAUAUUUUGCUGUCUGUAAUAGAAAUAGAUGACGGCAAAAAUAUUUUGCCGUCUGUGAUAAAAACAGAUGACGGCAAAGACAGAUUUUGUCGUCUGUAAUAGAAACAGAUGACGGCAAAGACAGAUUUUGCCAUCUGUGAUCAAAAGAGAUGACGGCAAAGACAGAUUUUGCCGUCUGUAAUAGAAACAGAUGACGGCAAAGGCAAAUUUUGCCGUCUGUACUAAAAACUGAUGACGGCAAAGAAGAAGCACACCACACGGAUUCCUCUCGUGGAUCGAUGACAUGGCAUCAUCCACACCGCACACACAUUCCCACAGCACCACCAUAUGGAUCCCCACCCCACCAGCCCACCCACCCACAUCCCCACCCCACCUCAUGUCUCCAUCAACCACCCCACCGACCCACCCCACCUCACGUCUUCCCUCACGCACGAAUGAUGUGGAUCUAGAUCGAUCUCUUCCCCCCACCCCACCACGCUCCCUCCACCUCACGUCUACGGCGACCUGGACUCUCGUCGCCGCCACCCCCGCGCCGACCACCCACCACCCGUACCUCCGACGCCCACCGCCCCCUCCCUCUGGUGCCCGACCACCCACCUCUACCACCGACGCACCACCACCCACGCUCCUGAUCAGGUCGCCGGCGGCGGCGCCCCCACCCCUUGCGCCCACCACCCUGGCAGCGGCAAGCGAGGCCGACGGAUGGUGCGGGAGGCCGGCGCUGACAGGCCGGAUUGCUGGUGCGCGGGCUGGUGACUGGCGCACACAGGGAGACAUGGCUGGGGGCGAUGGCAUGCGGGCCGCCUGGCACCUCCCACCUCCGGCGUGCUCGUCACAUCGCCCGCCUCGACGCGUCGCCGGCAUCCGUCUCCUUUGGUCUCCUCUUCCUCACUAUCUCCCUUCUCUCGAUCUGCAGGACUCCUCCUCGGCUGCUCUCCUCUGCAGGCGGCGGACAUGGGUUGACGGAGUGGGCAAGGUCCAAUGGAUCCGGGAUUCCGCGACCAGAUCCAACGGCCGCCGCUGCACUUCCCCACCGGUCGCCCCCACCGGCCGCCGCCACGGGCGAGGGUGGUGGCCAGGUGGGCCAGCGGCUCAAGCGGGCGUUUCGUGCUUGCGAGCAUGGCUCGGGGAGCUGGGUCAGGUGGCCAUGGAUCCUCCUCCUUCCUGCCGGGGCACCUCCCAUCCUUCCUGCCGGGGUACCUCCACUCCUCCGUCCACCUCGUCGGCCCCUUGUGUGCUAGCGGCACAGAACUCGCCUCCCCGGUCGCGCAGAACCCUCCACUUCCGGCGGCGAGUGUGUUAUUGUUCUUCUGUGUGAAAUAAUGAGCGACAAUGGAUGUUGAAAUAUACUAGUAGUAUUUUGUUUCUUGCAUCAGUGAGCGAUGGAUGUAAUGUGUAAAUCUGGCUCUCUCUUGUAAUAUUUGUUCGUUCUUAAUACUAUUGGUUGUGAAAUCUCAAUGGAAGAUUUUGUCUACGCCUUCGACCAUUUACUCAUGCCUCUCUCGUGGAUUGUUAUUUAUAUUUCUUAAGUAAACAAACAAAAUUGCCGUCUAGUAUUAGCAACAGAUGACGGCAAACAUUUUUUUUUGCCGUCUGGCAUUUUGGUCCGGCUGACGGCAAAAAAUUGACGCCGUCCGUUAGUGGGAGGUUCUGUCAGAGUGCUUUUUUUGCCGUCUAUCUUAUAAUAGAUGACGGCAAAGCGUUUGUACUAACGGCAAUAAUUUUGCCGUCUUCCGGAACAAAUGCUGACAGUAAAAAUUUCCUUUGCGGGCACAUGGGCUGACGACAUUGUUUGCCGUCAUGGGCUGACGGCAAAAUUGUUGCCGUCUGUAAUUCUUUCUUUGCCGUAUGUACACUCGUGAUGGCAAAAUGCCCGAUUCCUGUAGUGACUUGAGCAAUGGGCCAGUACUGCAGUCGUAAAUCAUAGGCCUCCGACCAACAAAAAUCAUAGGCCUAAUACAAAGAAAUACUACAUACAUACUUGGGGAGGACGGAGUGGCUAACAAAAAACAAAAGCAAUUAAAUACAUGCACAACAUCGAUCCAGCCUGGACAACAGUCAAUGUAAAAGGAAGGAGUAAUCAACAAUUCAACGAGAUUUUGAGUGGCCUAAUGGAGACAGAGGACAGGGAGAGGGAACAUGGAAAUUACCAGCUUGUUGACGUAGCAUUCUGGGGAGGAGGAGCACUCGGGGCGGGGUUAACAGGCCUGGCACUACUAGCAUGGAGGAACGGAUCUUGGCCUGGCCAACAAUGGAGAAGAGAGGGAGAAAUCGCUGGGAGAGAGCGCCAGAUCUGGCGGUCCCGGGCAAACACGACACUGAGUCCACCCAGAUCUUGGAGAUGCUAAAGGCGGCGGCGACAUCGGUGACAUGCUGCAUCGACCGGGAGGUCUUGUAAGAGAAUUUGGUGAGGAAGAGAUGUUGGAUGUUGGGGACGAGACCAGCCAGAUCUGGCGUUGUCCCAACGGCACAAGCACCGACGCCAUCUUUUGGAGGCACAGGUGGCGGCGUCCUUAAUGACGCGAGCAUCGGAGGUAUCGCAGGCGGCGGCUUCUCCUCGACGGCACGACUAGCGGGUGAUUCCUCCUCUACGAGAUGGUGGGUGUUGGAGCGGUGUUUGGGACGGAGAUCCUGGGGUUUGGCGAUUUGGGGGUGAAUCAGAAGAAUUGGCGGCGCUACACAAAUGGAUAGGAUUACUAAGCUUGUCCACUGGGGAUUUUUUACCAAAAUACCCUUAAUGUGGGGAGGUGUCCUUUUGUGCGACGAGGACAAAUGAGACAAUGCCACUCAAAACUGUGUGAGCGCCAAAAAUUGGUGUGCGUUCGCGGGCAAGCUCGGGGGGUGUUAGCGCUAUGAAAAUUUUGAACUUUUUUUAGUUGAAAUUUUGGCGAACAACGAAAUAUGGGUUUAUACGCAUUCAAAUUGAAAAGAUAAAUCAAAAACUUGUCAAAUAUUUUUGAAACGUUUGGCUAGGUAAAAGCACAUAUGCCGUAUUCCGAGCAAAAAACAAAAGAAUCAAUACUAUAUAAAUUCCACUAUCCAUUGCCAUAUAGUUGCACUUUUGUUUAUUUUUUUUCUCAAAAUAAGACAUAGCUCAUUUCAUCCGGAAACUUUAUACGUGAGUACUAUGAUAGCUAUGUUUGUCGCCAAAAAAAUCAUUCUUUUAUUUAAAUUUUUACCCAUUAUGCUUAAUCGAGUACGCCUACACCCAUAUUCCAAAAAAUCCGCAUCGAAAGUUUCAACAUUAUUAACAAGUAUCUCAACUAAGUCCUUCGCAAAAAGUUUUUCCAAUCUAAAAUAUGUAAUUCAUCUUAUUAUACAUUGUCGAAAAUGUUUAAAAAAAAUAUUGAUAUACAUUUUACCAAACUUUAUAAAAAUAUGAAAUAUUAGAUUGAAUCAAUAUCAUAUGACUCGUUCAGAUCUAAAUUACCAUCGAGUCGUUGGGACCUUUUAGCAAGUCUCACAUAAAAGGUGGGUUAGCAGGUCAAUAGGUUAGACGGUCCCACAUUUAAAAUUUGUUAGUGUAUCCACUUGGAUCAUCAAGUCAAUAUGUCGGUCCCGUUAUUCACGUAGUUCCAGUCAGCUCCAUUCAUGUAUAUGAACAUAUCAAUUGGUCAUCUGAACUUCAAAUAAAGGUAUGCACAAUGGUACUUAUUUUAAUGACCAUUUCAGAUGAUUGAGUAUUGACCUUUUUGACAUAGAUGGUCGUUACAUUAUAGGGUUUGAACAUAGAAAAACUCUCCCUAGCCAUUUUGUGAAUUUUGGUCAUAGAUUUAUGACCAAUUUGACCACCGUCAAUUUUUUUGUCAUGAAUGAGUGUUUUCCUUGUAGUGAUAGGAUGAUACAAACGCUAUCAGACAAGGAUGGGUGGGGAAUCCCGUGGAACUACACUCGUGUCGGCCUCAUUCCCCAACCGAGAUGAUGCUUCGGCAAGGUGGAUCACAGGCCAAAACUACAGCUGAAGGGUGAUACGUCUCCAACGUAUCUAUAAUUUUUUAUGGUUCCAUGCUAUUAUCUUGUCAAACUUUGGAUGUUUUGUAUGCCUUUUAUAUCAUUUUUGGGACUAACUUAUUAACUCAGUGCCAAGUGCCAGUUCCUGUUUUUUCCAUGUUUUUGACCCUUUUCAGAGGAGGAUUUUAAACGGUGUCCAAACGGAAUAAAACUUCCGAAAAGAUUUUUUCCGGAAUAGAAGAUAUGCACGGGACUUGAGAACCAAGGCAGAGGCCACCAGGGGACUCCACAAGCCCCCUAGGAGAGGCCAGGGGGGCCCGCGCCUAGCAGGCUUGUGGGCCCCCUGUGGCUCGUCUGCCCUACCUCUUCCGCCUAAAAAUUCUUGAAAAAUCCAAAACUGUGCGAGAGAUCCACGAAAAUACUUUUCCGCCGCCGCAAGCUUCUGUCUCCGCAAGAUCCCAUCUGGGACACGUUCUGGUGCCCUGCCGGAGGGGGGAUUCGGAUAUGGAGGGCUUCUUCAUCAACACCAUGACCUCUCCGAUGAUGCGUGAGUAGUUCACCAUAGACCUUCGGGUCCAUAGCUAGUAGCUAGAUGGCUUCUUCUCUCUCUUGGAUCUUCAAUACAAAGUUCUCCAUGAUCUUCAUGGAGAUCUAUCCGAUGUAAUAUUCUUUUGCGGUGUGUUUGUCGAUAUCCGAUGAAUUGUGAAUUUAUGAUCAAAUUAUCUAUGAAUCUUAUUUGAGUUUCUUCUGAUCUCUUAUAGGCAUGAUUUCAUAUCCUUGUAAUUCUCUUCGAUUUGUGGGUUUUGUUUGGCCAACCUGAUCUAUGAUUCUUGCAAUGGGAGAAGUGCUUGGUUUUGGGUUCAUACCGUGCGGUGACCUCACCCAGUGACAGAAGGGGUAGCGAGGCACGCAUCGUGUUGUUUCCAUCAAGGGUAAAAAGAUGGAGUUUACAUCAUUGGUUUGAGUUUAUCCCUCUACAUCAUGUCAUCUUGCCUAAGGCGUUACUCUGUUCAUCAUGAACUCGAUACACUAGAUGCAUGCUGGAUAGCGGUCGAUGUGUGGAGUAAUAGUAGUAGAUGCAGAAAGUAUCGGUCUACUUGUCUGGGAUGUGAUGCCUAUAUGUAUGAUCAUUGCCUUAGAUAUCAUCAUGACUUUGCGAGGUUCUAUCAAUUGCUCGACAGUAAUUUGUUCACCCAUCGUAAUAUUUGCUAUUUUGAGAGAAGCCUCUAGUGAACACUAUGGCCCCCGGGUCUACUUCACACCAUAUUUUCAGCCUUGCACUUUUACUUGGUUGCACUUUCCGCCUUCAGAUCUCACUUUGCAAUCAAUCUUGAAGGGAUUGAUAACCCCUUUAUAGCAUUGGGUGCAAGCUCGUUUGUGUUUGCGCAGGUACUCUGGACACUUGGCUCGAUUCUCCUACUGGAUUAAUACCUUGGUUCUCAAACUGAGGGAAAUACUUACUGCUCCUGUGCUGCAUCACCCUUUCCUAUUCAAGGGAAAAACCAAUGCAAGCUCAAGAGGUAGCAAAGGGCAGGGCGAUCCCGGUGGAGUUAAGCACGAUGGUGAGGAAAGUUACAACCUUGCCGGUAAAAAACAGUACCUACCAACCCCGUGUGUCGCCGGAUGGCAUGACACACUUGCCAGGUAGAGCGGACGCUGAAGAUGGGCAGGUCAGGAACUUGUGUAGUGGGAGAGAGCAGGGGCGGAUACAGCCUACAGGCAUGGCAAGCUCCGCCCUGAGUAUGGACGGGAAGUAGAGAUGGGAAGAGCUGAUUUGGGGUGAUUAAUUCGGGGCGAGAUUACGGGUGUGGAGCAAAAGACCGGGUUGUUUGUGGGCUUCUCGCGCAUGACUCGAGCCUCUCAGCCAUGGGAUCAAAUUAGGAAUAGACGACAUGCAACUUCUCUGACGAAUGCUAUUGCAUCAAACGUUUGUAGGUAAGUGUUUCCCUUUCUUAAAAUCUCCUUAAACGUUCACACAGAUCGCUCGAUCACAAAAAAUCGACGCACACGGUCCUUUCGAACCGGCCUCAAACGUCCGUGCUGACCGGCACCCCCAUUUCCAGCCUAAAUAUGGGGCGGAAAUGGGGGCGUCAGGGCACGCUCGCCACGUCAGACCCGACAUCCCGACCCAAUCUUAAAUUGCACCAGUUCCCACAAACCCUUCCUCCUCUUCCAGCCAUCUUCCAACAUUUCCCGCGUUCGACCGCUCGCCGUCCGGCACCCUUGCCCCACAUCCUCACCACCCACCCCGAUCAGCCGCCGUGAUGUUUUCCACCCCGUCCCCGACCACCGCGACGGAGACGCAGUCCGCCUCGUCCGUCGGCGGCUCUUCCUCCGCUUUGUCUUACAAGCCGGAGAACAUCACCUGUGAGAUGCGCCGUCGCCGGUAGCUACAGAGGGAGACAGAGUUGGAGGCACAGGUACAUGCAGGCGUCGUCGAGGAGAUGUCUCCUCUGACACGCCGGGCUCCCCGCACCCCAUCCAUGCAAGCCCCGACGCGGAUUGUGCUGUCUGGCACCGUCGAGAUCAAGGAGGGGGAUGAGAUGGCCGGCUGGACCCUUCAGGAGAGCUUCCCCGCCAUGCAACAGUCGUAAGUCCAUGAGCGUGAGUCCCCGCAGCUCGUUCAGGAGCGUGUAAGAACGGGCAACCCCACCGUCCGGGUUGCACUUGACAUGUUCGACGAAAUGUCUCAACAAGGCCGGGUAAGUUUGCUCUUGUCUGAUCUAAUGAUUAAUGUUUCGUAUAGUUCACUAGUUUGCACAAGAUGAUUUCUUGCAAACCAUGAACGUGUAGGACAUUGUUGGCAAGUAUGAUCAAUGAGAAUGAAGAUCCGGCCCAUGUGAAAUACGAAAUGGAGGAGACGUGCACAUUUGUAUUAGAUGAUCGACAUGCAUGACUUUGUAUGGAUUUGAGAGUCCGGAUAUGAGGUAUGUUGAUGCACGGAUUGUAAUAUGAGGGGCCGUCUGGAUGCGUCCGCAGACGUAUCCAUGCGCGUACGCGGACGUAUAUAGUGUCGGAUUUGACCAGUGUGACUGUAGAUGCUUUUAGGACGACUCCAACGGAGUAAAUUACAUGAAAUCAUAACUUUUAAGGCAAGGUUUGCGAAAAACACUAUGUUACAAUUUAUUUUCUUAGAAAACAACACGUGCGUAAUGGUUUUGUAAAAACCACUGAUCGACUGAUCUGACUGUGUUAAGUGAGUUUUUGACAGGUGUGGCCUUUUUUUCCUACAUGGCGCAACUUUUUGUGCCAGAUGGGUUUAAAUCUAAAAUUAUAAACUAGACCCUAUAAUUUUAGAUAGACACCCCUAUAUCAAAAAUGAACCUACUUUUCGUUCUGAAGCAGGUCGGCGACACGUUGCCCGACCUAUCGGCUGCAGUGGCUGCAGAACGCCGUCGCUGGCAUCAGCCUCGAUCUGGACGGUUUUUGGUCGCUCGCCAGCGUUUCGUAGCCACGGCCGCAAGCAAGUCUCUCGAGCUCGUCCCGGCCAUGGAGGCGUUCCAGCGGUGGUUCGAGGACUCCACUUCCGUCGUGCUCCCUUAUGUGCUGGCCAUCGCCGCGGUCGUCGGAGCGUCGAGGAACGGCAGGCUGCCCCUGCUCUUCCGGUCGUCGUCCUCACGCUAUGGCCCCAUGCGCUCACCACAUAGAGUUGGCCAGGGCAUUCCCGCCGGGUCUGGUGCCGGGCGGGGAUGGUGGAGGCCGAUGUGGCCGGAUCCGGUUGAGGGCACGGCGAUGGGGGCCGGGAAGGGAGGGACAAUGGACGCCGGCUCCGUCAAGACCAAGACCCACCGGGGCAUGGCGGAAGGCAGCUCCUUGGACAGGCAGGGAGGAAGGGGAGGGGGACAGGGCACGGGCGGCAUCCUCUGCUCCACCCUCGGUGCAGUAACGACGAAGGCGGGCCUCUGGCUCGGCCGGGUUCGGGAGGGGCGAUGACGGUCGGCGUCGGGAUGGGCCUGGGAAGCAGGGAGAGAAAUUUGGGGGGCUUUUCGCAUUAAACCUAAACUAUGUCAUGUAAGCCAUAUCGGUCGAUCCGUGAUUUUGCAAAAUCAUUUCCUAAGACAUGGUGUUUUCUAUAAAAAACAUGUAAUGUGGUGUUUUUCGCAAAUCUAACCUUCAAGGUGACGGUUUUAUGCAACUUACUCCAACAUGGUGGUGCGAAUGGCCCAUGUGUCCGUCUACGUUGGAACGAACGAAAACGUCAGCCCAACGCAAUGAUCCAAACCCAAUUUACAUCCGUGUGGACAUUUGCGGAUCAUAUUUACACCGAUUUGCCAUACAGACAUGAGACAUACGUUUUGCGUGUCCGCUCACCGUCUGCCUUAGACCCGCGUGUCGUCCGUCUAACUACCCUACGUGGCCAGAGUGAAUGUGUCCACCUACUUUGGACCCGCAUGGCAGUGUGUGGAAGCUUCCGGAGUUGUCAUCCUUUUUAAAUGCAACCAUGGAGUGAGGGGGGCAGCUUCAUCCACUCCUCCUGGUCCAGAUAUGGCCUUCCUUGCUUCCUUUUCGCCGACAGAAAAACCCUAGCUAGCUUGCACGCUGCCAUGGGUUUCUUCAGCGGCAAACACAAGGCCAAGGCCAAGCUCGACAUCGGCACUGGCACACCUUGCACGCCGCUGCCGGAUGUGUGAGCGAUGGUCCCAUAAGCAGGGAGGGGCCGCCGUCCACGCGACCGGCUCUACAUUCUAUCACAUCGCGCGUGGUACCACAUCCCGGUCUAUAAUUUUGUUAACUUUAUGUUUAAAUUCUUUAUACAUUUCAAAUUUUAGUUUAUUUGUGUCCAUGAGAAAAUUGUGUCAGUUACCGUUGGGUGCAUCGGUUGACGUAAACAAAAAAGCGAACACAACAGUCCGCUCGGUGGACCCAAAUAGACAAAAAGGAAAAAAACACGGUUGUUUGCGUCGCCACAUGGAGUUGCCCUUAUAGUCCGCAGCUGAUAAAACUUCAACAUUAUCAGGAGCGUCCUGUAACUAUCCAUCGGUUAGGCAGUCCUUUAUCAAAUGUUUAGUUGUGAAGCAACUUUUGAUGGAUGGAUAGGAGGAAAGUGGUAUCCACGACUCAUCAGAUUCAAAUCUUGGUGCUCGUAUUUAUCCUGAAUUUAUUUUAGGAUUCCCGGCGAUACACAUUUAAUGGAAGGAUACGUUCCCGUUUAUUACGAGGUGUCUACAGUGACUUAGUAAAAUAUCAAGAUAACAUGUCCGCUCAGUGUCUCGAAAGUCUUCAUAGGGUUAGGGUGUGCGUUCAUAGGGGUGAGUGUAUAUGCAUAUAUAUGAGUGUUUGCAUUUAUACUGUGUUAAAAAAUGUUAGCUAAGAAAUCCACAACUCUAUUUUGAAUACAAAUAAUCUUUCACAAAUGAUAAGUGCUACACGUAUGACACGAAACAACAUGGCCCAAACACCGUUAUCACCAUCUAUUUUGUCACAUCAAACAAAUAACUUUAGUGGAAUCUUUUUGUUUUUUGGAUUUAAAAUUGUUUUAUCUUUUAAAUAAAAAUAUGACUAAAAACCUAUUUUGAUCAUUAAAUCUUCCUCGAUCGGAUCUUUAAACUAGAUCCCCUAUUGGUAUGUUUCGACGACUUUUCUAGGCCAAAAGUUGUGAUGAUGUUUACAUCGAAGUUGGCAUAGAGUUUACAGUAAAGUUCUCAUGAUAUGUUUCAUCUAUUUUUUUCUUCUAGGUUUCAAGCUACCAUUUUAUUUUUAACUACUUUUCAUGACAAAUUUUAUAAAUUGAUCAUCUGAAAUUUUAGUAAUUAACCAUAGCAAAUUUAAUUCAUGGAUCAUGGCAAUUUUCUGUAAUGCAUCAAGACAAAUUUAGUUUAUAGAUCAUGCUAAUUUUAGUUUAUAGAUCAUGGAAAUGGUAGUAUUUUGAAUAUGGAAAUCCUAGUUUUUGUACAAUGAAAAUUAUUUUUUGUAGGAACCAUGGCAAAUUUUAGUGCACAUAUCAUGACAAAUUUAACUAAUUCACCAUGUCAAUUUUAGUUUAUGGUACAUGGCAAAUUUGAGUCAUUGACCAUGCACUUUUAAAGUAAUUGACGAUAGAUUUAUUUUUAAUUAUGAAGUAUGUCAAAAUUAUUUCAUGAAUCAUGGCAAAUUUUAGUAAUUCACCAUGGCAAGUUUAGUUUCAUAAUUGCCCUUUUUACAUAGGUCAAAUUUUAUUUUAAACGUAGAAGAAAAGGUGGUUGAUACAUAUAUGACACCUUCAGUGUAAACAUCAUCGCAAAUUAUGUGUAAUAGACAUAAUAAUUUUUAAAUCAAAAGGCAUCGAAAUAUAUUAAUAUGAGAUCUAUUUUUAAAGAUAUCGUUGCGACGGAUUUAAUUACAAAAACAGUUUUGCAAAUGGAUUUUUAUUUAAGAGACAAAACAUUUUAAAAACUAUAAACCAAAAAGAUUUCUGAUAACAUCAUUGUUUUGUCCCUCUUUGCAUGCAAGCACGAAAGAAUUUUUUUUGCUCCCAUGACGUAAUGAAUGGUUGAAAGGACGUUCACCCAACCUCCUGCGGCCCACUAAUACAUACCAAAUGUAUUUAUAUUUUCUGCUUGUUCCAUGAUCUUUUGGGUGACAUUGUUAUAAGUUUUGCUAUACUUUUAUAUCAUUUUACACAUAUUUGGACUAACCUACUAACUCAGUGCACCCAGUGCCAGUUUCUGUCUCCUGAUGUCUAUUUUGCAGGGGCUCUUACCCAAUUUUCUGAAGCCCGAAAAAUUCCAGGGAAAUAUAUAAAAAAUCAGCGAAACAGAAGCUUCCGGAUCACCGAAGAUGGGCCACAGGGGGGCAGGGGCUGCCCACGCGACCUGCUGGCGGCCAGGCCCUAGGCCGCGCCAGGAGGUCGCCUGGGUGGGUCCCACCUUCUUCGGUGUCCUCCUUUGGCCUAUAUUUAGAGUCCCGAGAGGAAACCCUUCCACAACUUCCAGAAUCACGAAUUUCUCCAUCGUUCCGCCGCGCAGUGCUUCCGAGAUCGGGAGCAUUAGGAGACCUCUUCCCGGCACCCUAUCGGAGGAAGGAUUGACCUCCGGGAGCUUCUUCACCGCCAUGGACGCUUCCCGGACGUGCCGUGAGUAGACCUCCUUGGACCAUGGGUCCAUUACCAGUAGCUAUGUGAUGUCUUCUCUCCAAUCUUGUGCUUCAAUGGUUAGUCCUUGUGAGCUGCCCUACAUGAUCAAUGCAUCUAUGUAAUUCUCUUGCUAUUGCUAUGCUCGGUUUGAUGGGAUCCGAUGGAUUAUUAGAUUACGUUCAUAUUGUUAUGAGUUAUAUAUUUGAUUAUCCUUUUAUAUCAUGUUCCUUAGUGAUUCAUUCAUGUUCUCCGUUGCUAUUUGUUGCUUUGGCCGAGUAGUAGAUUGUAACUCCAAGAGGGAGCGUUAUGCAGGAUUGUGGGUUCAUGCCCCUCGAUGUCUAGCUUGAGUGACCGAAACAUGAGACUAGGGGAUGUGCUGCUGCCACCAGGGAGAAAACAAUGGUGCUUCUGACCACGGUUGCAAGGAUUGUUUACCUUACACAUAGUUCGUUAAUGGAGUUGUUUGUUGCUUUGAGUUUACACUUUGGGUGGGGCUCACAACUUAAUACCGGAGAGAUGUUCUGGAUAGAUAUCUCAAGGUGGAUGAUUAGUAAGUAGAUGCUGAUGAACAAACGGUCUACUUGUCUUGGCAUACAGCCCAUUACUAUUGAACCUCUAACUAUCAAGUAGCAUAAUUAGCAUUGUGGUGCGUUCAUAAUUAUGUCAAUUGCCCAACUGUGAUUUGUUUACCCAAGCAUAGUUGUUUAUCGUCUUUUGGGAGAGAGACAUCACUAGUGAACAUCAUGGGACUCCGAUACAUAUCACCAUCAUUGUUUACACCUCUAUCAUUUACCGCUUUCAUUUACUCUUUCAUUGCUAUCACUAUUACUUUCCCACUUGUGUUUUGAUCCUUUGCAAACUACAAGGCCGGAGAGAUUGACAACCUCUCUGUACGCGUUGCGAGCAAUGUUAUUUGUUGUGUGUGUAGGUCCACGUCUUCUGCUAGCGCCAGGGUGUAAGACACCUACUUGUUGAUCCUAGGAGUCCUCCUGGUUCGAUAAACCUUACAGUUCCCGUGUGAGGGAAAACUUGUUGCUGACUACAUCUCAACCUUCCACUUGGGGUAACCAACGGGGUGCGAGAAGUAUAUACAUCAUCUCACCAUCAAGAAAAGUUUUCUGGCACUGUUACCGGGGACUCCAGUCUUCAAGGUAGGGGAGUUGCAUGCUAUCCUUUACCUUUGCUUUUUAGUCUUGUUAGUUUGCUUUCUAGUUUUUGCUUUAGAGUCUUAUACCAAAAACCACAAAAAAAUAGUUGCUUUGUUCUUGCUUGUUGCCGCUGCUAUGGUGAUACGUCCAUUUUGCANNNNNNNNNNNNNNNNNNNNNNNNNNNNNNNNNNNNNNNNNNNNNNNNNNNNNNNNNNNNNNNNNNNNNNNNNNNNNNNNNNNNNNNNNNNNNNNNNNNNNNNNNNNNNNNNNNNNNNNNNNNNNNNNNNNNNNNNNNNNNNNNNNNNNNNNNNNNNNNNNNNNNNNNNNNNNNNNNNNNNNNNNNNNNNNNNNNNNNNNNNNNNNNNNNNNNNNNNNNNNNNNNNNNNNNNNNNNNNNNNNNNNNNNNNNNNNNNNNNNNNNNNNNNNNNNNNNNNNNNNNNNNNNNNNNNNNNNNNNNNNNNNNNNNNNNNNNNNNNNNNNNNNNNNNNNNNNNNNNNNNNNNNNNNNNNNNNNNNNNNNNNNNNNNNNNNNNNNNNNNNNNNNNNNNNNNNNNNNNNNNNNNNNNNNNNNNNNNNNNNNNNNNNNNNNNNNCCUUUUCUCUCUUAUUUUCCAAGGUUUAUUUGAAGAGGGAGAAUACCGACAGCUAGAAUUCUGGACUGGAAAAGGAGCAAGUGUGAGUCCUCUAUUCUACGCAACUCCAAAUGCCCUGAAAAUCAGCGUGGAAUUUUUUGGGAUUAUAUAAAAAAUAUUGGGCAAAAGAAGUACCAGAGGGGAGCUGCUAGGGGCCCACAAGCCUGGUAGACGCGACCUGCCCCCUGGCCGCGGCUACAGGGCUUGUGGGCACCCUGGUGGCCCACUGGCCCCCCUCUUCUGCUAUAUGAAGGGUUUCGUCCGGAAAAAAUCGAGGAGGAGCUAUUUCAUGGAUUCUCCGCCGCCACGAGGUGGAACUUGAGCAUAACCAAUCUAGAGCUCCGACAGGACGAUCCUGCCGGGGAAACUUCCCUCCCGGAGGGGGAAAUCAUCGCCAUCGUCAUCACCAGAACUCCUCUCGUCGGAGGGGAUUCAUCUCCAUCAACAUCUUCAUCAGCACCAUCUCCUCUACAAACCCUAGUUCAUCUCUUGUAACUAAUCUCCGUCUCGCGACUUCGAUUGGUACUUGUAAGGUUGCUAGAAGUGUUGAUUACUCUUUGUAGUUGAUGCUAGUUGGAUUACUUGGUGGAAGAGUUUAUGUUCAGAUCCUUNNNNNNNNNNNNNNNNNNNNNNNNNNNNNNNNNNNNNNNNNNNNNNNNNNNNNNNNNNNNNNNNNNNNNNNNNNNNNNNNNNNNNNNNNNNNNNNNNNNNNNNNNNNNNNNNNNNNNNNNNNNNNNNNNNNNNNNNNNNNNNNNNNNNNNNNNNNNNNNNNNNNNNNNNNNNNNNNNNNNNNNNNNNNNNNNNNNNNNNNNNNNNNNNNNNNNNNNNNNNNNNNNNNNNNNNNNNNNNNNNNNNNNNNNNNNNNNNNNNNNNNNNNNNNNNNNNNNNNNNNNNNNNNNNNNNNNNNNNNNNNNNNNNNNNNNNNNNNNNNNNNNNNNNNNNNNNNNNNNNNGUUUAUGUUCAGAUCCUUGAUGCUACUCAUUACACCUCUGAUCAUUAUUAUGAUUAUGCUUUGUGAGUAGUUACUUUUGUUCCUGAGGACAUCGGAUAAGUCAUGCUAAUAGUAGUCAUGUGAAUUUGGUAUUCGUUCGGUAUUUUGAUAUGUUGUAUGUUGUUUUUCCUCUAGUGGUGUUAUGUGAACGUCGACUACAUAACACUUCACCAUUAUUUGGGCCUAGAGAAAGGCAUUGGAGAGUAGUAAGUAGAUGAUGGGUUGCUAGAGUGACAGAAGUUUAAACCCCAGUCUAUGCGUUGCUUCGUAAGGGGCUGAUUUGGAUCCACUAGUUUAAUGCUAUGGUUAGACGUUGUCUUAAUUCUUCUUUCGUAGUUGCGGAUGCUUGCGAGAGGGGUUUAUCAUACGUGGGAUGCUUAUCCAAGUAAGGGCAGUACCCAAGCGCCGGUCCACCCACAUAUCAAACUAUCAAAGUAACGAACGCGAAUCAUAUGAACAUGAUGAAAACUAGCAUGACAGAAAUUCCCGUGUGUCCUCGGGAGUGUUUUUCCUCCUAUAAGACUUUGUUCACGCUUGUCCCUUGCUACAAAAGGGAUUGGGCCACUUUGAUGCACCGUUGCUAUUACUUGUUACUUGUUACUUUUCACCCGCUACGUUUCACCUCACUACACCAUCACUUGUUACCGCUACUUUCAGUGCUUGCAGUUAUUACCUUGCUGAAAACCGUUUAUCAAAGCCUUCUGCUCCUCGUUGGGUUCGACACUCUUACUUAUCUAAAGGACUACGAUUGAUCCCCUAUAGUUGUGGGUCAUCAAGACUCUUUUCUGGCGCCAUUGCCGGGGAAUGAAGCGCCUUUGGUAAGUGGAAUUUGGUAAGGAAACAUUUAUAUACUGUGCUGAAAUUUAUUGUCACUUAUCACUAUGGAAACUGUUCCUUUGAGGAAUUUGUUCGGGGUAUCUUUACCACGAAAGGAAGCACAAGGACUUGCUACUCAACCUAAGGUACCUACUGAAAAUAUCUUUUAUGAAAUUCCUUCGGGUAUGAUUGAGAAACUGCUGGCUAAUCCUUUUACAGGAGAUGGAUCAUCACAUCGAGACUUGCAUCUAAUCUAUGUAGAUGAACUUUGUGGUUUAUUUAAGCUUGCAGGUUUGCCCGAGGAUGAGGUAAAGAAGAAAGUCUUUCUUUUAUCUUUGAAGGAUAAGGCGUUGACAUGGUAUAGGCUAUGUGAUGAUACUGGAUCAUGGGACUACAAUCAGUUGAAAUUGGAAUUUCAUCAAAAGUUUUAUCCUAUGCAUUUAGUACAUCGUGAUCGGAAUUGUAUUUAUAACUUUUGGCCUCGUGACAGGGAAAUCAUAGCUCAAUCUUGGGGGAGGCUUAUAUCAAUGCUAUAUUCAUGCCCCAAUCAUGAGCUCUCGAGAGAAAUUAUCACUCAAAACUUUUAUGCUCGGCUUUCUCAUGAAGAUCGUACCAUGCUUGACACUUCUUGUAUCGGUUCUUUUAUGAAGAAGGAUAUUGACCACAAGUGGAAUUUAUUGGAAAGAAUCAAACGUAACUCUGAAGAUUGGGAGCUUGAAGAAGGUAAGGAGCCAGGUACGAAUUUCCAGUUUGAUUGCUUUAAAUCUUUUGUUGAAACAAACACUUCUAGAGAUUUUAGCGCUAAGUAUGGACUUGACUCUGAGAUAGUAGCUUCUCUAUGUGAAUCUUUUGCUGCUCAUAUUGAUCCUCCCAAAGAGAAGUGGUUUAAGUAUCAUCCUCCUGUAGAAGUCAACAUAGUUAAACCCAAUCUAGUUGAAGAGAAAGUCAUUGCCUAUAAUGAUCCUAUUGUUCCUUGUGCCUACACUGAGAAACCACCUUACCCUGCUAGGAAAAAGGAUUAUUCUAAAGCUCCAACUGUGAUACGUAGGGGUUACAUUAGACCACUUGCACCCCCUGAGGAAAUUAGAGUUGAACCUAAUGUUGAUAUUAUCAAAGAUCUCUUAGCCGAAUACAUAGACGGACAUGUUAUCAAAUUCUGUGAGGACUCCUCUAGAAUUGCUAAACCUCACGCAAAAGACAAAUACGGACCUGUAGUUGGCCUGCCCAUUGUUCCUGUCAAGAUAGGAAAUCACUGUUAUCAUGGUUUAUGUGAUAUGGGUGCUAGUGUUAGUGCAAUACACCGGUCCCUAUAUGAUGAAAUCAAAGAUGAGAUUGCACCUGCUGAGUUAGAACCCAUUGAUGUCACUAUUUCGCUAGCUAAUAGAGACACUAUCUGCCGCGUGGGAAUUGUGAGAGAUGUAGAAGUCCUGUGUGGUAAGACGAAGUAUCUUACUGAUUUCCUCGUCCUUUCUACUGCACAAGGUAGCUUUUGUCCUAUCAUAUUUGGUAGACCCUUUCUCAACACUGUCAAUGCUCAUAUUGAUUGCACUAAACAGACUGUCACUGUUAGUUUCGAGGGUGUGUCUCAUGAAUUUAACUUCUCCAAGUUUGGAAGACAACCCCAUGAAAAAGAGUCGUCUCGUAGGGAUGAAAUCAUUGCUCUUACCUCUAUUGCCGUGCCUCCUACGGAUCCUUUAGAGCAAUAUCUGCUUGAGCAUGAAAAUGAUAUGCAUAUGGAUGAAAGAGAUGAGAUAGAUAAAAUUGUUUUAGAACAAUAUUCUAUUCUUAAGAAUAAUCUGCCUGUUGAAAUGCUUGGGGAUCCUCCCCCACCAAAGGGUGAUCCUGUGUUCGAGCUAAAACAGUUACGAGAUACACUUAAGUAUGCCCAUCUUGAUGAGAAGGAGAUAUAUCCUAUUAUAAUUAGUGCUCACCUCUCGAAUCACGAAGAGAAGAAGUUAUUAAAAACUUUGAGGAAGCACCGUGCUGCUAUUGGAUAUACUCUUGAUGAUCUUAAGGGUAUUAGUCCCACUCUAUGUCAGCACAAGAUUAAAACCGAUCCUAAUUCUAAGCCAGUCACUGAUCAUCAACGGAGGUUAAAUCCUAGGAUGAAAGAGGUCGUGAGAAAAGAAAUAUUAAAGCUUCUGGAAGCAGGAAUCAUUUAUCCUGUUGCUCAUAGUGAUUGGGUAAGUCCAGUACAUUGCGUACCUAAGAAGGGAGGUAUCACCGUCGUUCCUAAUGAUAAGAAUGAACUAAUCCCAUAGAGGAUUAUUAUUGGCUAUAGGAUGGUGAUAGACUUCCGGAAACUGAAUAAGGCAAACAUGAAAGACCAUUAUCCUUUGCCGUUUAUCGACCAAAUGCUAGAAAGGCUAUGUAAACACACACACUUCUGCUUUCUAGACAGUUAUUCAGGUUUCUCGCAAAUACGUGUUGCACAAUCUGAUCAGGAGAAAACCACUUUCACCUGCCGCUUCGGUACCUUUGCUUAUAGACGUAUGCCUUUUGGCUUAUGCAAUGCACCUGCCACUUUUCAAAGAUGUAUGAUGGCAAUAUUCUCUGACUUUUGUGAAAAGAUUGUUGAGGUUUUCAUGGAUGAUUUCUCCGUUUACGGUUCUUCCUUUGACGAUUGCCUCAGCAACCUUGAUCGAGUCUUACAGAGAUGCAAAGGUACCAACCUCGUCUUGAACUGGGAGAAGUGCCACUUCAUGGUUAAUGAAGGCAUCGUCUUAGGACACAAAAUCUCUGAGAAAGGCAUUGAAGUUGAUAAGGCUAAGGUUGAUGCAAUUGAGAAAAUGCCUUGCCCCAUAGAUAUCAGAGGUAUACGAAGUUUCCUAGGUCAUGCUGGUUUCUAUAGAAGGUUCAUUAAAGACUUCUCUAAGAUUUCUAGGCCUCUUACCAACCUCUUGCAGAAGGAUGUUCCUUUUGUUUUUGAUGAGGAUUGUGAGGAAGCUUUCGAAAUACUUAAGAAGGCCUUGAUAACUGCACCUAUUGUUCAACCACCUGAUUGGAACUUGCCCUUUGAAAUCAUGUGCAAUGCUAGUGAUUAUGUUGUUGGUGUUGUUCUAGGACAAAGAGUUGACAAGAAGUUGAAUGUCAUUCACUACGCUAGUAAAACUCUAGACAGUGCCCAAAGAAACUAUGCCACUACGGAGAAGGAAUUUUUAGCAGUCGUGUUUGCAUGUGAAAAGUGCAGAUCUUAUAUAGUUGACUCCAAAGUCAUUAUUCACUCUGAUCAUGCUUCUAUUAAGUAUCUUAUGGAGAAGAAGGACGCUAAGCCUAUGCUAAUCAGAUGGGUUCUCCUGCUACAGGAAUUUGAUUUGCACGUUGUUGACCGAAAGGGUGCUGAUAACCCUGUAGCACAUAACUUGUCCAGGCUAGAGAAUGUCCUUGAUGACCCAUGACCUAUUGAUGACAGCUUUCCCGAUGAGCAACUGAAUGUCAUCCGCACUUCACAUAGUGCACCGUGGUAUGCUGAUUACGCAAACUAUAUCGUAGCCAAAUACAUACCACCCAGUUUCACCUACCAGCAAAAUAAGAAAUUCUUCUUUGAUUUGAGACACUACUUUUGGGAUGAUCCUCACCUUUAUAAGGAACGAGUAGAUGGUGUUAUUAGACGUUGUGUGCCUGAACAUGAACAGGGACAAAUCCUGCAGAAGUGUCAUUCCGAAGCCUACAGAGGACACCAUGCUGGAGAUAGAACUGCUCAUAAGGUAUUGCAAUCAGGUUUCUAUUGGCCCACUCUCUUCAAGGAUGCUCGUAAGUUUGUCUUGCCUUGUGACGAAUGUCAAAGAAUAGGGAACAUCAGUAAACGUCAGGAAAUGCCUAUGAACUAUUCUUUUGUCAUUGAACCAUUUGAUGUGUGGGGCUUUGAUUAUAUGGGACCCUUCCCAAGUUCCAAUGGGUAUACUCACAUCUUAGUUGCUGUUGAUUAUGUCACUAAGUGGGUAGAAGCUAUCCUCACUAGAAAUGCUGAUCACCACACCUUUAUUAAGAUGCUUAAAGAAGUCAUUUUCCCAAGAUUUGGAGUCCCUAGAUAUCUGAUGAUUGAUGGCGGUUCACACUUCAUUCAUGGUGUUUUCCGCAAGAUGCUCGCUAAGUAUGAUGUCAACCAUAGAGAUGCAUCUCCUUAUCAUCCUCAGUCUAGUGGUCAAGUGGAGUUGAGUAAUAGGGAGAUCAAAUUGAUCUUACAAAAGACUGUCAAAGAUCUCGAAAGAAUUGGUCUAGCAAACUUGACGAUGCACUAUGGGCUUAUAGGACUGCUUAUAAGAAUCCCAUGGGCAUGUCGCCGUAUAAAAUGGUUUAUGGUAAGGCCUGUCAUUUACCUAUUGAGCUAGAACACAAAGCUUAUUGGGCAAUCAAAGAGCUCAACUUCGAUUUCAAACUUGCCGGUGAGAAGCGGUUGUUUGAUAUCAGCUCAUUAGAUGAAUGGAGGGCCCAUGCAUAUGAGAAUGCUAAGUUGUUCAAGGAAAAUGUUAAGAGAUGGCACGAUAAAAUAAUACGAAAACGUGAGUUCAAUGUAGGUGAUUAUGUCCUGCUAUACAAUUCUCGCUUAAGAUUCUUCGCAGGCAACUUCUCUCUAAAUGGGAAGGUCCCUACGUUGUCGAGGAAGUAUAUCAUUCCGGUGCCAUCAAAAUCAAUAACACGGAAGGUAAUUUUCCAAGAGUGGUAAAUGGGCAAAGAAUCAAGCAUUAUAUAUCUGGUACUCCCAUAAAUGUUGAGACCAAUAUCAUCAAUAUCAUAACAACAGAGGAGUACAUAAGGGAUGUUUAUCAGCCUGUUUCAGACCCUGAAAACGAAGAGGUAUGUGUUUCGGUAAGUAAUUGGACUCCAAAACUUUUCCAGUAGGAAAUUUUCUCCGUUUUAGAAUUUAUGAAAAAAUAGAAAAAUAAAAAGUAGUCCGGAGAGCGCACGAGGCGGCCACAAGCUUGGUAGCCGCGGCCUCCCCCCUGGCCGCGGCUACAGGGCUUGUGGGUACCUCGUGUGCCUCCCGGACUCCGUUUUCUUGCGGAGCACUCCUUCUGGUCCAGAAAAAAUCAUUAUAUUAUGCCCGAGGGUUUUGAUCUCCGUAUCAUGUAGUUUUCCUCUGCUUUCGUUUCGAGCCUGUUUCUGCUGCAGAUCUAGACUGCUAUGGCUUCCCCAAAAUCUUCGAAGGACAAGGUCUUUGAGAAGGUUAUCAAUCCUUACCUCGCGGAAGUGUUGCAGCACCCUCAAUCUAUCAAGAUGAGUGAGGGGAUGUUGCACAUCCGCGAUGUUGAGGGGCCUAAGAAGACCGGAAGCGUGGAGACGAGGCUCGAAGCAAUGGAGCAACAAGUCCUCAAGUGCCAAGGGAUGGUGGAGCGUGGACUCAAUGCCAACCACAUGAUGAUCACGGAGUACACUAACAAGCAUAAGAUGGAUGCCAAUGACAUUGGGAAGCACCUCUCCAGGCUCUAUGACAGGGAUGAUCAACUCCAGGGCCAGAUCUAUGACCUGCAGAACCAAAACUGUGAGUAUGAGUAUAUAUUUAAAUCAAUACGGUUGGCUGCAGAUUUGAGGAUUCUCGCGACUCGUUCAUCCUGCCAUGAUGGAGCACCUAUGCCUUGGAAGACGGAGGAUCAAACUCAUGUUGCAACUCCUCCACCACCACCAUCAAAGGAAGACAACUGAGAAUUGGUAUGGGCAAUCCCCUUGGCUUGUGCCAAGCUUGGGGAGUUGCCCUGGUAUCAUAUCACCUUUUUAUCUUUUGCUUUUACCUUUGUUUUAGUUCUUUAUUUUUCAGUUUUAACUUUCUUUUCUUAGUGGGAUAAGUCUUUAGUGUUUAGUUUGAGUCUUUUUCCUUGUGUCUCCCCCGAUGUAUUCGAGGUUGCGAGCUAUAUAAGAAAGAGUAUCUUAGUCAAGGGCUUUGUUUUGUGCCGUGAUCAAAAGUACGAAAAGAACGAUAGCAUGAAAGAUCAUGAGAUGAUCUUAUGGAAAGUGAUAGCUUCACAUAUAACAAGUAUGAUGAUUGAAACUUGUUGAGAAUAGACCAACAUGGACCCCAGUCAUUGUUGCAAUUAACAAGAAGUAAUAAGGAAAGAGAGGUUCACAUAUAAAUAUAUCAUCUUAGACACUUUUUACAAUUGUGAGCACUCACCAAACUAUUACAUGCAUAGAAGUAGAUGUUGGACAAGAAAGACAACAUAACGAAUUGUGUUUGCUUGAUCCCAAACAAUGUUAUAUGUCUAGAGACCCCUUAGCAUGUGACGAUUGCUUCCACCUCAUAUUAGCCAAAACUCCCGCACCAAGUAGAGAUACUACUUGUGCAUCCAUAAACCUUCAAACCAGUCUAGCCAUGAGUGUCCACCAUACCUACCUAUGGAUUGAAUAAGAUCCCUCAAGUAAGUUGUCAUCGGUGCAAGCAAUAAAAAUUGCUCUCUAAUAUGCAUGAUCUAUUAGUGUGUGGAAAAUAAUAUUUAUACGAACCUAUGAUGAGGAAGACAUAAAGGCGACAGACUGCAUAAUAAAGUUCUUUAUCACAGGAGGCAAUAUAAAGUGACGUUCCUCCGCACUAAGAGGACACACAUCCAAACCUCAAAAGCGCAUGACAACCUCUGCUUCCCUCUACGAAGGGCCUAUCUUGUACCUUUACUUUUGUCCUUGUGAAAGUCAUGGUGAUCAACACCAAUUCCCUAUUCCGUCUUCAUCUUGGUGAACGUCAUAUGCUUGGGAAAGAUCUGUAUUCAUAUAUCAAGUUGGAGAUGAGUACUUAUGCUUUAUUAUUGUUGACUUUACCCUUGAGGUAAAUGGUUGGGAGGCAAAAUUAUAAGCCCCUAUCUUUCUUUGUGUCCAACUAAAACUUUGAUGCCAUGAGUACCACGUGAGUUGUAACAAUUGUGGAAAACAAAAGAGAUGAUUGAGUAUGUGGAUUUGCUUUACAAGCUCUUAUUUGACUCUUUCUGAUGUUAUGAUAAAUUGCAAUUGCUUCAAUGACUAUGGACUGUUGUUGGCUACUUCUCGGUAAGGUUUUUGAUUCAUACUUUGCUUUGUGAAGGAAUUGUUACUUUCCCAUAAGAAUCUUUAUGAUGUAUUGCUCUUCUAUGUGUGAUCAUGAUGCCCUCAAGUCUUUAUUAUGUUUUAUCGAAACCUUCAUCCCUAAACAUGUGGACAUAUUUAUGGAUCUUGGUUUUCGCUUGAGGACAAGUGAGGUUUAAGCUUGGGGGAGUUGAUACGUCCAUUUUGCAUCAUGCUUUCAUGUUGAUAUUUAUCGCUUUAUGGACUGUUAUUAUACUUUGUGGUACCAUACUUAUGCCUUUUCUCUCUUAUUUUGCAAGGUUUAUUUGAAGAGCGAGAAUACCGGUAGUUGGAAUUCUGGACUGGAAAAGGAGCAAGUCUGAGUCCCCUAUUCUGCGCAACUCCAAAUGCCCUGAAAAUUAACGUGGAAUUUUUUGAGAUUAUAUAAAAAAUAUUGGGCGAAAGAAGUACCAGAGGGGAGCUGCUAGGGCCCCACAAGCCUGGUAGCCGCGACCUACCCCCGUGGCUGCGGCUACAGGGCUUGUGGGAACCCUGGUGGACCACUCGCCCCCCUCUUCUGCUAUAUGAAGGGUUUCGUCCGAAAAAAAAUCGAGGAGGAGCUUUUUCGUGGAUUCUCCGCCGCCACGAGGCGGAACUUGAGCAGAACCAAUCUAGAGCUCCGGCAGGACGAUGCUGCCGGGGUAACUUCCCUCCUAGAGGGGGAAAUCGUCGGCAUCGUCAUCACCCAAACUCCUCUCGUCGGAGGGGAGUCAUCUCCAUCAACAUCUUCAUCAGCACCAUCUCCUCUCCAAACCCUAGUUCAUCUCUUGUAACUAAUCUCCGUCUAGUGACUUCGAUUGGUACUUGUAAGGUUGCUAGAAGUGUUGAUUACUCUUUGUAGUUGAUGCUAGUUGGAUUACUUGGUGGAAGAGUUUAUGUUCAGAUCCUUUAUGCUACUCAUUACACCUCUGAUCAUUAUUAUGAUUAUGCUUUGUGAGUAGUUACUUUUGUUCCCGAGGACAUGGGAUAAGUCAUGCUAAUAGUAGUCAUGUGAAUUUGGUAUUCGUUCGGUAUUUUGAUAUGUUGUAUGUUUUUUUUCCUCUAGUGGUGUUAUGUGAACGUCGUCUACAUAACACUUCACCAUUAUUUGGGCCUAGAGGAAGGCAUUGGGGAGUAGUAAGUAGAUGAUGGGUUGCUAGAGUGACACAAGCUUAAGCCCCAGUCUAUGCGUUGCUUCGUAAGGGGCUAAUUUGGAUCCACUAGUUUAAUGCUUUGGUUAGACGUUGUCUUAUUUCUUCUUUCAUAGUUGCGGAUGCUUGUGAGAGGGGUUAAUCAUAAGUGGGAUGCUUGUCCAAGUAAGGGCAGUACCAAAGCGCCGGUCCACCCACAUAUCAAACUAUCAAAGUAACGAACGCGAAUCAUAUGAACAUGAUCAAAACUAGCAUGGCAGAAAUUCUCGUGUGUCCUCGGGAGUGUUUUUCCUCCUAUAAGACUUUGUUCAGGCUUGUCCCUUGCUAGAAGAGGGAUUGGGCCACUUUGCUGCACCGUUGCUAUUACUNNNNNNNNNNNNNNNNNNNNNNNNNNNNNNNNNNNNNNNNNNNNNNNNNNNNNNNNNNNNNNNNNNNNNNNNNNNNNNNNNNNNNNNNNNNNNNNNNNNNNNNNNNNNNNNNNNNNNNNNNNNNNNNNNNNNNNNNNNNNNNNNNNNNNNNNNNNNNNNNNNNNNNNNNNNNNNNNNNNNNNNNNNNNNNNNNNNNNNNNNNNNNNNNNNNNNNNNNNNNNNNNNNNNNNNNNNNNNNNNNNNNNNNNNNNNNNNNNNNNNNNNNNNNNNNNNNNNNNNNNNNNNNNNNNNNNNNNNNNNNNNNNNNNNNNNNNNNNNNNNNNNNNNNNNNNUGCACCGUUGCUAUUACUUGUUACUUGUUACUUUUCACCCGCUACGUUUCACCUCACUACACCAUCACUUGUUACCGCUACUUUCAGUGCUUGCAGUUAUUACCUUGCUGAAACCGUUUAUCAGAGCCUUCUGCUCCUCGUUGGGUUCGACACUCUCACUAAUCGAAAGGACUACGAUUGAUCCCCUAUACUUGUGGGUCAUCAUAUGGGUUCCACUGAAAACACCAAGCUGUGUGACUUCACUAGCCACAACAACUAUGAUUUUAUCUGCAUUCCUAUUGCUGCUCUCGCCAGUGGAGCCACGCCCUAUGAGAUUAAACCUGCUUUACUGAACCUAGUUAUUAAAGAUCAAUUCUCUGGUGCUGGAGAUGAUGCUGCCUGGCACUUGAACAAUUUUGUUGAGCUUUGUGAUAUGCAAAAAUAUAAAGAAGUAUAUGGUGAUACUGUUAAACUUAAGCUUUUUCCCUUUCUCCUUGAGAGGAGGAGCUAAUGUGUGGCUUCAAUCUUUGCCUAGGAAUAACAUAGAUUCUUAGGAUAAGUACAAAGAUGCUUUUAUUGGGAAGUGUUAGCCGCCUGCUAAGAUUAUCUAGUUGAGGAGUAACAUUACGAAUUUUAGACAAUUGGAUAAUGAACAUGUUGCUCAAGCUUGGGAACGUAUGAAAUCUUUUGUUAAGAAUUGUCCUACACAUGGUUUGACUACUUGGAUGGUUAUCCAAACUUUUUAUGCAGGAUUGAACUUUACCUCGUGGAAUAUGUUAGACUCGGCCGCGUGAGGAACAUUUAUUCAACUACACUUGGUGCUUCCACAAAGCUACUGGAUGAGAUGAUGACAAAUUAUUCUCAAUGGCACACUAAGAGAGCUCCAACAGGUAGGAAGGUAAACUCUAUUGAGGAGAUCUCCUCCCUUAAUGAUAAGGUUGACAUGAUCAUGACUCUACUUACUAAGCAAGCUCCUAUUGAUCCUCAUGAUGUUCCUUUAAAUUCUUUGGUUGCUCAAAAAAGAGAGCAAGUUGAUGUUGAUUUUAUUUCUAGGAACAAUUUUAAUAACAAUGCUUAUAGGAGUAAUUUUGGUUUCAAUCCUAGACCAUUCCCAUCCAACAACUAUACGAACAACAACAAUUAUCCUAGCACCAAAAACUCCACUUCCGAAUUAGAGAGAAUGCUUAAAGAUUUUAUCACCUCUCAAAAAGCCUUCAACAAGAGUGUAGAAGAGAAACUAGAAAAAUUAGAUAGUCUCUCUUUGAAGGUGGACAAUAUAGCUCAUGAUGUAGAGAUGCUUAAAAUUAGAAACCCCCCCUUGAGGAAAGGAACACCACACCCAUGAAUGCUAUCCAAGUCCAAAUUAAUGAGAACAUAAGAAUGCUAGCCAAACUUAAAGAGAGAUGGGCUAGACAAAAGUAAGAGGAAGAGAGAAUUAAGAGCCUUCCUACACACACUACCAUUGCUACUAUACAAGUUGUUGAGGAUCUCAAAACUUUUAGCACCCAUCGCAGUCCUAGUCCCGAUGGACCUAUUAAUGGUGAUGUUAAUACCUCAACCAUAGGACAAGAAUGUCCUUUGAAUUUAGAGACUACCAAAAGAAUGAGCUUAGAUGGCAUUACCACCACUUUAAUUAAUGGUACUAAUCUUGAUUUUGACAAUUGUAGUCUCUCCGAAGUCAUCACCUUUUUUUUUUUGCAAAGAAUGGCUAAAUACCCCCACACUACUACACUCAAUAUUGCCUUCACCGAGCAUAUUACCAAUGCUAUUACCAAAGCUAGGGAGGAGAAGCUCAAGUUAGAGACUUCUAUUCCUAGAAAACUGGAACAUGGUUGGGAUCCUAUGGUCAAAAUUAAAUUGAAUAAUAUCUCUUGCUUUCCAUUGUGUGAUGUUGGAGCUAGUGCUUCUGCGAUGCCCAAAAGAAUGUAUGAUAUGCUUGAUUGGAAACCUUAUGAUCCAUGUUCUUUUGGAGUUCGUCUUGUUGAUUCUUUCAUAAAGAAACCUUUAGGGAGAACUGAUGAUGUCCUUAUUACUGUUAAUGAUAAUUAUGUGCCCGUUGAUUUUCUUAUCAUGGACAUUGAAUGUAAUCCUUUAUGUCCAAUUAUUUUGGGACAUCCUUUUCUGUGCACCGUUGGUGCUAUCAUUGACAUGAAAGAAAGAAUUAUUAAAUUCCAAUUUCCUCUUAAAAAGGGAAUGGAACACUUCCCUAGAAAUAAGAUUAAGUUACCUUAUGAGUCCGGUACUCGGGCAAGUUAUUCUUUUGGAGUUGAUAACACUUGAUGUUCUUGCAUUACGCAUAGCUCAAAGGCAUAGAAGAAAGCGCUUGUUGGGAGGCAACCCAAUUUGUUUUUACUUUCUGCUUUAGUGGUCUUGAUGCUUGUUACUACUGUAGAAACAUCAUUGUAUCUUUAUUUUUAAGCUUUGUGCCAAGUUAUAGCCUCCGAUUGCAAGAAAGUUCAAAAAUUGUGACAUGCUGUCCAAAAACAGAUUCUGUAUGCUUGACGGAAAAAUUUGCCAAAAAUCACCAGAUCAUCUUUUUGAUCUGGAUUUUCUGAAAGCAAGCUCUGUAUAAUUGUGUUUAUGUCAUCUGUUCUGAGUUUUCUUGAUUUGAAUUGCAGAAGUGCCCCAAAUAAAUUAUUUACUACCUGUUGUUCUGUUUUUCACAGAUUCUGCCAUGUUCUGCAAAUCCUAAGCUUACUUUUUAUAUGCAAAAACCUUUGGGAAAUCACGAGAAGCAGUAGGUUUUCAUGAAAAUCUUUAUUUCCAGUUGGUAAUGAAUUAUUUUAUUAAGGGUACUAACCACUCUAAUUAGCUUAUGAUGAGUUUCAUAUGAAGGGAGUUUUCAAGUAUGCGAUGUGAGAUGAUGAAAGACGAUACAAGAGUGUCAAGCGCUCAAGCUUGGGGAUGCCCCCAUGCACCCCAAGAAAUAUUCAAAGGAGACUCAAGCAUCUAAGCUUGGGUAUGCCCCUGUGCAUCCCCUUCUCUAUCAACAAUCAUCAGUUCGUCCAUCUCCAUGCUAUAUUUGUAUCACUUCAUAUGUUAUGUGCUAUACUUGGAGCGUCCCGCUCUUUACUUUUUAGUUUGCUUUAGUUUUGCUUGCUGGUCAUAACAAGUCGGAACCUAGCCUACCUUGUUUGGGAGAGAAACACACUCCAUUCCACUCUAGAACACAACAUAGGUUUUCAUGCUUAUCUUUUUUGUGUGUCCAUCAUCUUUCUAUAGCUACUGUCAUGCUUAGCUCUUAGUUUUCAUGCUUAUCUUUUUAAGAGAUAUUAUUUAGGUUUCUUUUGGAACUCUCUUGAGUUAUCAUGCUUAUCUUGUUUAGAGAGUUGGCUCGUUGCAUUGAGUUGUGUGUCUUGCAUGAGUAGGUAACUCAGGUUGCUAUUUAAGUAUAGUAGUAACUUGCAAUAGUUUUGAUGUAUUGAUUUGAGUAAUGUUUGGAUUAUUUGUGCCAAGAUCUUAAGUCUAUUAGUGAUAGGUGUCGCAUUUUGGGAAAUCCGUGUGUUUUUCAAAAACUAAAAAUUAGUUGAGAACUCUAGCUACUAAAUUGAUCGCUACCCUCUAGAGGGGUUGUAAUAUAUAGAGUACCCUCACGUUACCACGGGUUGAGGAUGCGCAAGGAUAACGAAACCCCCAAACACUCCUCCUCGGGGUACUUGUCUCUUUGUGAAUUUCCUAACGAGAUAGAGAGUUACCGAUAAUAAGUGUAUGAGUUCUUCAUACUAAUGUGAGUAUUCGAUUGUUGGCACUUCCACCAUCCAUAUUUUGCUAGCCUCUUCGGUACCAUGCAUUGCCCUUUCUCACAUUGAGAGUUGAUGCAAACUCCGCCGGUGCAUCGAAACCCAAGACAUGAUACGCUCUGUCAUACAUAAGCCUCAUUAUAUCUUUCCUCAAAACAUCCACCAUACCUACCUAUUAAGGCAUUUCCAUAGCCUUUCCGAGAUACAUUGCCAUGCAACAUCCACCAUCCCAUGACUUGAUAUUCAUGUCAUACAUGCUUUUGCUAGAUCGAGGAGUCGCAUGAUGGUUGUGCCUUGCCCAAAUUAUUGCUAGAUGACGCGCUAGUAUCAUUGCAUAUCUGCUACACUCGUAGAGGUAUACAUUUGCAUACAUCAUGAUAGUUUUCACUUAUCUUUAUGUUGAGUACUUCUUAUAAAGUUUGAUGAUUUUUUAUUUUUAUUCAUGUAAAACAUAUAGUGUUGCCCUUAAGAGAGGACAAGAUCCCAAAGAGGACAAAUUAAAAGAUCCUAAAGAGGACAAAUGAGAGAUAAAAAGAAAGAGCCGAGGAGGCCACAAAAAAUAGAAUAAAAAGGGAAAAAGAAAAAAAGAGAGAAGGGGGCAACACUACUAUUCCUUUUGAAAGAUCCACACUCGUACUCCAUUUCUAUAUUUGUACUACAUAGAGAUUAUCAUUAAUGCAGAACUAUGUGAGGACCCUUACAUUAUAGAACUUGGUUUGCAUAUUUCAAUGAUGAGCCUCCUCAAAUGAGCUCUAGGUCUUCAUGAGAAAACAAGUUGGAUGUACCACCACUAGUUCCAUUGGAGAGCUUACCUUAGCUCAUAUGUGCAUCCGUUACAUGGCAGUCCCUACUCCUCACAUCAUAUCUAUCAUUUGGCUUUCUCUCGUCUAUGGUUGUCCUCAUUGAUGUGAGCCUUUCACACCUUUUUUUUUCUUCCUUCCCCAUUAUUAUUCUAUUUGCCAUCCUAAGUGCCAACAUAUCUUGCUUACGCUCAUCCAUUGCAUGAGUACUCAAAUUCGAAAGAGAGAGGAUCAUUUUUACUUGUGCCUGACUAAUGGUUUGGGGAUGAGUCAAAAUAAGAUUCCAAAGGAGACGAAGUGUGAAAUUUUAGUAGAUUGAGUUCUCAAUUAAAAAAAUAUUUUAUGAUCUCAACCCAUCUCACACUUCUUGCACGCAAACACCAUUUGGAGACAUUCGAGUCACGGACAGCGAGAGCUCUUGGACCUUUAUGUUCUUACUUUACUAAGCUCAAUACUAGAUAUAGACUCUUGCUUGUUAUUGUCUUGACUUGAAUUGCAUAUCUCAUUUGCUUUACUUUGAAGAUCUUAUAUGUGUGUUAGCAUGUCACCACAGAAAUUAAUGUGUUAUCAUUUAUCUACUCAAGGAUGAGAAGAAAUUAAGCUUGGGGAUGUUGAUACGUCCCAAACGUAUCUAUAAUUUCUGCUUGUUCCAUUAUCUUUUGGGUGACAUUGUUAUAUGUUUUGCUACACUUUUAUAUCAUUUUACACAUAUUUGGACUAACCUACUAACUCAGUGCACCUAGUGACAAUUUCUGUCAUCUGAUGUCUAUUUUGCAGGGGCUUUUACCCAAUUUUCCGGAGCCCGAAAAACUCCAAGAAAAAAAUAUAAAAAAUCAGUGAAACAAAAGCUUCUGGAUCACCAAGAUGGGCCAGAGGGGGGCCAGGGGCUGCCCAGGCGACCUGGUGGCACGGCCAGGCCCUAGGCCGCGCCAGGAGGCCGCCUGGGUGGGCCCCACCUCCUCCGGUGUCCUCCUUGGGCCUAUAUUUAGAGGACCGAGAGGAAACCAUUCCACAACUUCCAGAAUCGCGAAUUUGUCCAUCGUUCCACCACCGCAACUCUUCCGUGAUCGGGAGCGUCAGGAGACCUCUUCCCGGCACCCUGCCGGAGGGAGGAUUGACCUCCGGGAGCUUCUCCACCGCCAUGGAGGCUUCCCGGACGUGCCAUGAGUAGUUCUCCUUGGACCAUGGGUCCAUGACCAGUAGCUAUGUGAUGUCUUCUCUCUAAUCUUGUCCUUCAAUGGUUAGUCCUUGUGAGCUACCCUACAUGCUCAAGGCAUCUAUGUAAUUCUCUUGCUAUUGCUAUGCUCGUUUGUUGGGAUCCGAUGGAUUAUGAGAUUAUGUUCAGAUUGUUAUGAGUUAUAUAUUUGAUUAUCCGUUUAUAUUAUGUUCCUUAGUGAUUCAUGCAUGUUCUCCGUUGCUAUUUAUUGCUUUGGUCGGGUAGUAGAUUGUAACUCCAAGAGGCAGCGUUAUGCAUGAUUGUGGGUUCAUGCCCCUCGAUGUCUAGCUUGAGUGACAGAAACAUGAGACUAGGGGAUGUGUUGUUGCCACCAGGGAGAAAACAAUGGUGCUUUUGACCACGGUUGCAAGGAUUGUUUACCUUAUGAAUAGUUCGUUAAUGCAGUUGUCCAUUGCUUUGAGUUUACACUUUGGGUGGGGCUCGCAACUUAAUACCGGAGAGAUGUUCUGGAUAGAUAUCUCAAGGUGGAUGAUUAGUAAGUAGAUGCUGAUGAAUAAACGGUCUACUUGUAUUGGCGUACUACCCAUUACUAUUGAACCUCUAACUAUCAAGUAGCAUAAUUAGCAGUGCGGUGCGUUCAUAAUUCCGUCAAUUGACCAACUGUGAUUUGUUUACCCAAGCAUAGUUGUUUAUCGUCUUUUGGGGGAGAGACUUCACUAGUGAACAUCAUGUGACUCCGGUCCAUAUCACCAUCAUUGUUUACACCUCCAUCAUUUACCACUUUCAUUUACUUCUCCGUUGCUAUCACUAUUACUUUCCCGCUUGUGUUUUGAUCCUUUGCAAAUUACAAGGCCGAAGAGAUUGACAACCUCUCUGUACUCGUAGGGAGCAAAGUUAUUUUUUGUGUGUGCAGGUCCACGUCUUCUUCUAGCGCCAGGGUGGAAUACACGUACUUGUUGAUCCUAGGAGUCCUCCUGGUUCGAUGAACCUUACAGUUCCCGUGUGAGGGAAAACUUGCUGCUGACUACAUCUCAACCUUCCACUUGGGGUAACCAACGGGGUGUGAGAAGUAUAAACAUCAUCUUGUCAUCACCCACACGUAUGUUACUUAUCAUAGUCCUAAACUUUAUAAUGUAUUAGGUUCUCGAUCUCCACCAGUUAACUUUUUCAUGCCUUCCAUCGCAAAAAUAGAAAAAAAAAUCUUCACGUGUGCCACAAUGUGACGAAGGCUUGAACAUUUUAUAGGGACGAAUGAAACAUUCGCAAACAUCGCUAUUUUUUUGCUAGUAAAUACCGCUCCUCUUCUAGCCCCGCUCCGAUCAUAGCGCCCCCUGCGGAUAGGAAGUCCUGCUACGACAGCCACUCCUCUACCGAUACAUCCAUGUGUUCUUGGGUGCUUUGUCACCCAUGGUGUUGUUAGAUCCCACGUUUGAUCUUGGUUUGGCCUUUGAAUCAUACAUAUGGAAGCAAAUGCACGCUAUCCAUCAACAACUCUGAAGAUCGUCAAUGGGGGAAAUUAUUUAUUUUACUUGAGUUUUCUAGAUCAAUGUUGCGCCUUAAUCAAGAAUCCGGUGGCACUAUUCGCUGGGCAUGCUUUGGGGCAAUGCUUCACGUUUCAAGGUAUCUGUUCUUCAAAAUUUAUCUUUCAAAUUUUGUUUAUCAUCCAAAGAGGUUGGCUUUGAAAUCAUUGUGGAGCAAAUAUUUCCAAUGAUACAUUUAGUAAAGGCUUCCUGUUUUGAUGUCCGGAAGAUCCAGAGUUAAAAGAGGGUUUUCAUGAGUAUCAAUGUUCUGCUAAUCAAGAUUGGACGAUGUUCUCCAGAUCAACUUUUUUGAAAACCUUAUGUCGAUGCCGCUAAAGAGCCUUCUUUUUUACAAUUAUUUUAAAAUGCGACAUGUGCUCAUUCCCAACUCAGAUCAAUGUUUGAACGUCUUGAUGCAAUUAAUAAGUCAAUUUCAUUGGUCUUAACUGACCCCAAUAGAGGUGCUUUGGGGGAGGCGGGAUGGGUUGGCGUUCAAAAUUUUGGAUCGUCCACCUCUCGCUCUCGGCAUAUUGCGAAUGGCGAGGCCAAAUCCCAUCCCGCGGAUAUUUGCGGUCUCUUCUUUCACUAGGAGGGCCAAUUGCACUAAGAAGAUUCAUUAUCAGACCUCCGACAGAUGGGGCCACAUUUCAGUUAGUUGUUGGUUUAGGGGAGGAUUAAAGUUGCCUCUUUGCCUACCAAUUCAUGAAUUACUAAUCACUCGGAAAUCAUGCCCUUUUGAUAAAUGCUCGUAGUUAACGUUCAACGCUCUUGUUUGGGAUGGUUGCACGGGGUGGGGGUUGCACAUGAGUCUUCUCCACUCGCAACCACAAGCA
rnacentral:lncRNA from 1 species